rnacentral:rRNA from 1 species
UACGGAGGUGGCAAGCGUUGCUCGGAAUCACUGGGCGUAAAGCGCACGUAGGCGGGCGUGUCAGUCAGGGGUGAAAUCCCGGAGCUCAACUCCGGAACUGCCUCUGAUACAGCACGUCUUGAGUUCGAGAGAGGUGGGUGGAAUUCCUAGUGUAGAGGUGAAAUUCGUAGAUAUUAGGAAGAACACCGGUGGCGAAGGCGGCCCACUGGCUCGAUACUGACGCUGAGGUGCGAAAGCGUGGGGAGCAAACAGG